rnacentral:tRNA from 1 species
GCCUCUAUAGCUCAGUUGGUAGAGCGCGGCACUAGUAAUGCCGAGGUCUUCAGUUCAAAUCUGAAUGGAGGCA